GUUGCUACAAAAGAGAAUAGGGUGUUCUCAUCCCAUAAAGGACAAGCAUAAGGCAAGGCAAUUUUUUGAAUGUUGAAUGUCAAAAAGACUUUAUACAGGUCAAAUUUUCCCCAGCUGUGGGCAGAGACAGAAGAUGAAGGUGAAGGUGAUUUUGAAGGUGUGGAGGCUGAAGAAUUAAGAAAACUUCAACCAAGGAGGCGAUGAAAGAUACUUCCAAAUGCCUGGUACUUCAUUUCCUGACAAUCAAAGGCAUGUGCUAAUGAUGACCCUAGGCUCCUGUCUGAGAAUGAGAUGGAGCUGACAAGUAUCCAUCACUGGCCAUGCAAAACAAUAUGUGACAAGUUUUUAAACUAAAAACCCAAGUCUCCUGUUUAAUUACUGAGCAGCUAGACACUGUUCCAUGUUACCCUGUUGUGACAGCCCAAACCAACACUGAACAGCUGAAUACAGUCAAGGCCCCGUGAGGGUACUGAUGGAUGUGACAUACCAUUUGCUUACUUAUGGGACAGAAUAGGGAUUUCGUGGUGACAUUUAAAACCAUUAGUUUGUCUCCCUUACUUAAUCUAAAUCUCCCUGAAAAUUAUUACAAAUAAAAUUUUAGUUGCUAUUUCAAUGGACAAAAUGGAAAAAAAAAGGUGCCUACUACUGCUUCUACAUGGUUUACCACUUAGUUCAAUAACAUCUUAACUCAGUUGAUUGAUGAGCUAAAAAAAAGAUGCAUAUUGGAGCACAUGAAUGAUCUCCUACCUAGGGCUACCCUGAACCAGCAGGUAGAAUUCUGGGAAGAGGUAAAUUUAAGCCAUUUUUCAGGAAGGUAAAAAAUAAUAAUAAUGCUACAAUGAAUAGUCUAAAAUAGUUCUUUCCUUUACAGGCUAUCCUUUUAGGUGGUCUGGAUUAACAUGUGACAUCUGGGCAGAACUUGGUACUUUUUCCUUAUACUUUCUCAUUUUCCCACUUAUUUAAGCAUUU